rnacentral:rRNA from 1 species
UACGUAGGGUGCAAGCGUUAAUCGGAAUACUGGGCGUAAAGCGUGCGCAGGCGGUUGUGCAAGACAGAUGUGAAAUCCCCGGGCUUAACCUGGGAACUGCAUUCGAAACUGGCAGGCUAGAGUCUUGUAGAGGGGGGUAGAAUUCCAGGUGUAGCGGUGAAAUGCGCAGAUAUCAGGAAGAACACCUAUGGCGAAGGCAGCUCUCUGGGACGGUACUGACGCUGAGACGCGAAAGCGUGGGGAGCGAACAGG